GUAACAACUUCUGAGUAAUGCAAACGAGUAAGACCCACAAUACCGAACAUAGGAACACAUGAAUAUGUACACAGACUAUAUUUAGAGCUGCAGCAAGACAGAGAAAGCAUGUAACAGAAACACAUCCCUGGUCAGACCUGAUAGUAUUUCCACCUACUGGGUCCCUGCAAGAUAAUUUUCUGGAAGUCCACGCUGCUCAUCUUUUGCCAGUUCUUCAGCUUACCAAAGCCACCAUUAAGCGCAGACAUAUAAGCACACUUUGGAUCUCCUCCAGAUCAGUGACG